GAGCUGCGAUGUGAGAAAAUUUUCCUGCACAAGCCAAAAUAUAAAGGUAAAUGGCAAAAUGGUAAAUGGUAAACGGGUGAAAUGCUUAAGAAAAUCAACUCAACGAGCAGGCAAAGCCACAAAA
rfam:Drosophila willistoni strain TSC#14030-0811.24 scf2_1100000004943 genomic scaffold, whole genome shotgun sequence.